rnacentral:rRNA from 1 species
GACGAACGCUGGCGGCGUGCCUAACACAUGCAAGUCGAGCGGGGAUUAGCAUUUGAUUUAUCAUAUGCGAAGUCCUAGCGGCGGACGGGUGAGUAACGCGUGAGCAACCUGCCUAUUAGAGGGGGAUAACACAUCGAAAGGUGUGCUAAUACCGCAUAUGGUAUUUGCUUUGCAUAAAGCGAAUAUAAAAGGAGCAAUCCGCUAAUAGAUGGGCUCGCGUCCCAUUAGCUAGUUGGUAGAGUAAAAGCCUACCAAGGCGACGAUGGGUAGCCGACCUGAGAGGGUGAUCGGCCACAUUGGGACUGAGACACGGCCCAGACUCCUACGGGAGGCAGCAGUGGGGAAUAUUGCGCAAUGGGGGAAACCCUGACGCAGCAACGCCGCGUGAAGGAAGAAGGCUUUCGGGUCGUAAACUUUUGUCUUUCGGGAAGAAAAAAAUGACGGUACCGAAGGAGGAAGCCACGGCUAACUACGUGCCAGCCGCCGCCGUAACAC